CUAUAGUGAUUGACUACUCUCCGAAUCUCUUCCAGACUUUCUCCUAUCACGAUCGACUUUACUCCAAGCUUCUUUCGGACUUCAUCAAUGACCGGGCUUUUCCAGCAGCAGCACUUCUACAGUAACCAGACUCUAUCCAAGUUUUCACAGUGGUCGACUGCCUUUUGAAUUUCAUUCAAGCUUCUACAGUAAGCGAAUUUCGUCUGAACUUCUAUUG
rnacentral:lncRNA from 1 species